rnacentral:rRNA from 1 species
GACGAACGCUGGCGGCGUGCUUAACACAUGCAAGUCGAACGGGAUUUAGUAAACAGAAGCCUCGGUGGAAGAUUACUAAUGAGAGUGGCGAACGGGUGAGUAACGCGUGAGCAACCUGCCUAUGACAGUGGGAUAGCCUCGGGAAACCGGGAUUAAUACCGCAUAAAAUCGUAGAAACACAUGUUUUAACGGUCAAAGAUUUAUCGGUCAUAGAUGGGCUCGCGUCUGAUUAGCUAGUUGGUGAGAUAACAGCCCACCAAGGCGACGAUCAGUAGCCGGUCUGAGAGGAUGAACGGCCACAUUGGAACUGAGACACGGUCCAAACUCCUACGGGAGGCAGCAGUGGGGAAUAUUGCACAAUGGGGGAAACCCUGAUGCAGCGACGCCGCGUGGACGAAGAAGGUAUUCGUAUCGUAAAGUUCUGUCCUAUGGGAAGAUAAUGACAGUACCAUAGAAGAAAGCUCCGGCUAAAUACGUG